GAUGAAGAACGUAGCGAAAUGCGAUACGUAGUGUGAAUUGCAGAAUUCAGUGAAUCAUCGAAUCUUUGAACGCACAUUGCACCUCUCGGUAUUCCGGGAGGUUUGCCUGUUCGAGCGUCAUUUGUACCCUCAAGCUCUGCUUGGUGUUGGGUGUUUGUUCCGCCUCUGUGUGUGAACUCGCCUCAAAACAAUUGGCAGCCGGCGUACUUGUUUCGGAGCGCAGCACAUUUUGCGAUCCAGAUCAACGUACAGCGGCAUCCAAGAAGCCUUAUUUAACGCUCUUGACCUCGGAUCAGGUAGGGAUACCCGCUGAACUUAAGCAUAUCAAUAAGCGGAGGA
rnacentral:misc_RNA from 1 species